rnacentral:rRNA from 1 species
GACGUAGGGUGCGAGCGUUUGUCCGGAUUUAUUAGGGGCGUAAAGAGCUCGUAGGCGGCUCGUCGCGUCGACCGUGAAAACCCGCGGCUUAACUGCGGGCUUGCGGUUGAUACGGGCGGGCUAGAGUUCGGGUAGGGGAGACUGGAAUUCCUGGGUGUAGCGGUGAAAAUGCGCAGAUAUCAGGAAGAACACCGGUGGCGAAGGCGGCCCCACCUGGCUC